GGAAAAAACAUUAGCAGUCUUGUCCACCGAGAUGGGCACUUUGACACCUCCCCUUCCUGGUGUUCCUUGUUUCUCCAUCAGUGCAGGGCCUCACCCAGCAUUCCCUGUACCCACCCUGAGCUGAAAAUGCUUCAGGUUUAUACUCCUCCGCUAACUCUAGCCAGUAAUUCACUGCCGCAGAAUCAUAACAGGCCAGUUAACCUGUCUGGACAAACUGAGAUCGAACGAUGCUCCAAGCUGGCGGCAGGAUCAGGCAGAGGCGAGGGCUUGGCUUACACUUGCCCUUCUGCUUGGUUUCUUCUCAUUCUCCUUCUGCUGCCCCACUCUCUUUUUCUCCUCAAGCCCUUCAUUAAUAAACCUAUACAUGGGAAUUCAUUUCUUCACUUUCAGAAGACCUGCCCCAAGACACCCCAUCAAACUUAAAACACGGUAAAAUAACACGUUUCAAAACCAAGUUAAGCAGGAAAAUAGAUCACAGAAGAAGUCAUGAGCAGAAGCAGUUCCAAAACAAAGGUGAGUUUUAAUAUACAUAAGCCAAGAGAAAGCAUGAACUUGACUGUGGAAGAAGAGGCUAGCCCUACCCACAGUGGUCUAUGCUUCCAGAUUGGCUGGCAGUAGGCUAGCCCAGACUCUUCCAACUGGCAGGAUGGUAAACAUGAGUCUGUUUUGUCGGAGGGAGAAUGGAAGAGAGAGAGAGAGUUAACAACAGGGUAAAGACAUGGCACUCUGACAAGAGUAAUGACUCCUCUCUUUAAAAUUUAUUCUAAAAUCUGUUGGGCACUGGAUGAAUGGAAUACCUUUCUUCUUAAAAAAAUAAUAAAUCUAUAAUUUUAUUAAGAUAAAACUGAA
rnacentral:lncRNA from 1 species